CCUACGGGUGGCUGCAGUGGGGAAUAUUGGGCAAUGGAGGCAACUCUGACCCAGCAACGCCGCGUGAGCGAUGAAGGUCUUCGGAUUGUAAAGCUCUUUAAGCGGGGACGAAGAAAGUGACUCUACCCGCAGAAUAAGCCUCGGCUAACUACGUACCAGCAGCCGCGGUAAUACGUGGGAAGCCAGCGUUAUCCGGAAGGACUGGUCGUAAAGGGUUCGUAGGUGGUUUGGCAAGGUGGUAGCGUAAUCCCGGGGCUCAACCUCGGUGCUACUGCCGAAACUGUUGAACUUGAGUGCAGGAGGGGUGAGUGGAAUGCCCGGUGUAGCGGUGAAAUGCGUAGAUAUCGGGAAGAACACCGGCGGCGAAGGC
rnacentral:rRNA from 1 species